rnacentral:rRNA from 1 species
GACGAACGCUGGCGGCGUGCCUAAUACAUGCAAGUCGAACGCACUCUCGUUUAGAUUGAAGGAGCUUGCUCCUGAUUGGUAAACAUUUGAGCGAGUGGCGGACGGGUGAGUAACACGUGGGUAACCUGCCCUAAAGUGGGGGAUAACAUUUGGAAACAGAUGCUAAUACCGCAUAAAACCUAACACCGCAUGGUGUAGGGUUGAAAGAUGGUUUCGGCUAUCACUUUAGGAUGGACCCGCGGUGCAUUAGUUAGUUGGUGAGGUAAAGGCUCACCAAGACCGUGAUGCAUAGCCGACCUGAGGGGGUAAUCGGCCACACUGGGACUGAGACACGGCCCAGACUCCUACGGGAGGCAGCAGUAGGGAAUCUUCCACAAUGGACGAAAGUCUGAUGGAGCAACGCCGCGUGAGUGAAGAAGGUUUUCGGAUCGUAAACUCCGUUGUUGGAGAAGAAUGUAUCUGAUAGUAACUGAUCAGGUAGUGACGGUAUCC